CAGCAGCCGCGGUAAUACGUAGGGUGCAAGCGUUAAUCGGAAUUACUGGGCGUAAAGCGUGCGCAGGCGGUUUUGUAAGUCUGUCGUGAAAGCCCCGGGCUUAACCUGGGAAUUGCGAUGGAGACUGCAAGGCUUGAAUCUGGCAGAGGGGGGUAGAAUUCCACGUGUAGCAGUGAAAUGCGUAGAGAUGUGGAGGAACACCGAUGGCGAAGGCAGCCCCCUGGGUCAAGAUUGACGCUCAUGCACGAAAGCGUGGGGAGCAAACAGGAUUAGAUACCCUGGUAGUCCACGCCCUAAACGAUGUCUACUAGUUGUCGGGUCUUAAUUGACUUGGUAACGCAGCUAACGCGUGAAGUAGACCGCCUGGGGAGUACGGUCGCAAGAUUAAAACUCAAAGGAAUUGACGG
rnacentral:rRNA from 1 species